AGAUUGAACGCUGGCGGCAUGCCUUACACAUGCAAGUCGAACGGCAGCACGGGAGCAAUCCUGGUGGCGAGUGGCGAACGGGUGAGUAAUACAUCGGAACGUGCCCAAUCGUGGGGGAUAACGCAGCGAAAGCUGUGCUAAUACCGCAUAAGAUCUACGGAUGAAAGCAGGGGAUCGCAAGACCUUGCGCGAAUGGAGCGGCCGAUGGCAGAUUAGGUAGUUGGUGAGGUAAAGGCUCACCAAGCCUUCGAUCUGUAGCUGGUCUGAGAGGACGACCAGCCACACUGGGACUGAGACACGGCCCAGACUCCUACGGGAGGCAGCAGUGGGAAUUUUGGACAAUGGGCGAAAGCCUGAUCCAGCCAUGCCGCGUGCAGGAUGAAGGCCUUCGGUUGUAAACUGCUUUUGUACGGUAACGAAAGUACUCUUUACUAAUAAAGAGGAUACAUGACGGUAACCGUAAGAAUAAGACACCGGACUAACCGUUACGACCG
rnacentral:rRNA from 1 species